AAGAAGAUGAAAACUGAUUGGAAAAACAUAACUUGAAGUAGAAUUUAUAUAUAAACACACACACGCAAAGGGGAAUUUGCAGGUUGUUCUGUUCAAGAUGUGACAUGGAGCCAACUUACAGGAAAGCAAUUUCAUUUCUCAGAGAUGAGGAGGUCUGAACAGAGAGGAGCAUCAGAAAUGGCAAGGCUUUUCCCAGAAGGAUGUUGAUGAAAAGCACAGCAUCCUAAUGCUCAAUUCCAGAAUAUGAUUGACUUGCAGUAGAAGAUGGGAGUAAGGAAG